GUGGGUAGUUUGACUGGGGCGGUCUCCUCCUAAAGAGUAACGGAGGAGCACGAAGGUUGGCUAAUCCUGGUCGGACAUCAGGAGGUUAGUGCAAUGGCAUAAGCCAGCUUGACUGCGAGCGUGACGGCGCGAGCAGGUGCGAAAGCAGGUCAUAGUGAUCCGGUGGUUCUGAAUGGAAGGGCCAUCGCUCAACGGAUAAAAGGUACUCCGGGGAUAACAGGCUGAUACCGCCCAAGAGUUCAUAUCGACGGCGGUGUUUGGCACCUCGAUGUCGGCUCAUCACAUCCUGGGGCUGAAGUAGGUCCCAAGGGUAUGGCUGUUCGCCAUUUAAAGUGGUACGCGAGCUGGGUUUAGAACGUCGUGAGACAGUUCGGUCCCUAUCUGCCGUGGGCGCUGGAGAACUGAGGGGGGCUGCUCCUAGUACGAGAGGACCGGAGUGGACGCAUCACUGGUGUUCGGGUUGUCAUGCCAAUGGCACUGCCCGGUAGCUAAAUGCGGAAGAGAUAAGUGCUGAAAGCAUCUAAGCACGAAACUUGCCCCGAGAUGAGUUCUCCCUGAGACUUUAGGUCUCCUGAAGGAACGUUGAAGACGACGACGUUGAUAGGCCGGGUGUGU
rnacentral:rRNA from 3 species